AUCACAUGUCAUGACUACACAAUCAUUGCUACAGGAGAUGCUGAAAGAUUUGAAGGAUGCUUUCUGGCCAUUUCAGCUUGAUCAUACUAAGAGUCCUUUCCUGAGAGCAGCACGAGCUGCCAACUGUUCAGAAAGUACCAAUGAUUCCGAUGAAAGUGCAUUCGAGCUUGCAUCUGUCAAGGCUGCUCUGCAUCGGCUAGAGCGUGGUGUUUGGACCAGUGUUCGUUUUGGG
rnacentral:misc_RNA from 1 species